AAAUCUCAUUACACAAUGGGGCUGUAAGAGUGUUUUCCUUAUUUCUCAGGUUUUCUUCCUCACUUCUUUCCUAACGUCCUGUCCCUCACAAAGAAUAGGGCAGGACAUUUCCAUUUUUCUGGAAAGGUCCUGCCCUAUUCUUUGUGAGGGACAGGAUGGUAAAAUGAACUGGGAACUCAUUUUACCGACCUCGGAAGGAUAGAAGGCUGAGUGAACCUUGAGCUGGCUACCUGGGAUUGAACCCCAGGUCGUAAGCACAGUUUUGGCUGCAGUCCAGCUGUCCUGUAUGGGUUAAUGAAUGACCAAAGGCAAAGAUAGAAAGGGACCGUUAUAUCCUCUUCCAGCUUUCCCUGCUCAGAUACAGCCUAUGCUCCCAGUGCUUCCAGGCUCACCAUGAUGAGGUUCCUGGCCAUCAUUGUGGCGUUCGUUGUCAUUACAGGAUCCCAGGCUUCUGAUGAUGAAAGCCGAAUUCCAAGAGUGGAGGAACUGCUCAGAUACUGGUUUGGUUUGCCCACGGCAUCAGAUUUCAUAUGGGACAACUUUAGCGAAUCAAAGACUGGGCAGGAAUUGUCAGGCCUGUUCCAUAAUGCAAGCCAACAAUUUCAUAAAUUUGACCGAGAGAUUCCAUCGGAGCUCACAGAACCCUUACAUCUCGUGAGUGCUGUAUAUACAGGUGUUAUGCUGAAAGCUUAUAGCGCUGUAACUGAGCUGAGAGACCAGCAGAAACUUCAAGAACCACUGAUAAACCUACUGGCGUAUUAUGUGGAACCCGUCCUGGAGAGGAUGGAACCAUAUUUUGAGUCCUUCGGACCGAUGCUCAAUGACGAACUGAGAUACAUUCAUGAGAAAUUGCCGGAGUAUUUUAAACCUCUUGACGAUGGGCUCUUCUUCUACCUCAAGAAGUUGGAAGACGCUAAACCGACCCUCCAAGACGCCGCCGACCAAACGCUGACUCGUUUCAUACAAGGGCUGGAGGCUCUUCACAAGAACCUGAAUCCUUACCUGAAACCCCUUCUGGAGGAGAGCAAAAAACACGAAACAGAGUUUAGGGAUUGGGUUCACGCCUCCAUAUUUCCCUCAGACUCGUGAUUUUUUUUUUUCAUGAGUAAGGGGGAGUGAUGCAUUGUGGAUCUUUAAGAAAAUCGGUGUGGAAGGGGUCACUAAAAUGAUGUGGUGGGCAGUAAUUUGUAAACUCCCCGCCUGGUGAUAUAAUAAAGGAGACAUUUUUAAAAACGGCUAGCCA
rnacentral:lncRNA from 1 species